CCUACCCCUAGAGGUAUUGCAGGUAUGGCUGCCAUGUCACAUGUGCAUCAGUAGGCAGCAGAGUUGUGAGAGCCUACGUUUAGGCUCAGUGUUCUGACCUGUGGACUUCUGAACGAUUAGCAACCUAACACA